ensembl:misc_RNA Metazoa_SRP Metazoan signal recognition particle RNA
GCCAGGCAUAGUGGUGCAUAUCUGCAGUCCCAGCUACUCAGGAGGCUGAGGCAGGAAGACUGCUUGAGCCCAGGAGUGUAGGGCUACAGUAUGCUAUGCUAGUCGGGUGUCUGCACUAAGGUUGGCAUCAAUAUGGUGACCUCCCAGGAGCAGGGACCACCGGAUUGCUUAAGGAGGGGUGAAAUGAGCAUUUCAAAACUCCUAUGCUGAUCACUAGUGGGAUGGUGCCUGUCAAUAGGCACUGUACGCCAGCCUGGGCAAUAUAGCAAGACCCUGUCCCU